CUAUUAAAUAUGUUUUUUAAAAAUUUCUUAAGCUUAAUGUGGUGAAAUUUUAAAAGAUUUAAAAUUUCUGUUAAAUGUAAUAGUUUAAUGGAAAGGUUAAAUUUUUUUAAUAAGAUCCAUUUAAGAAUUUUGUUCAAAAAAACUUCUUAGAGGGACUAUCAAUGUUUUAAUUGAUGGAAGUUUGGAGGCAAUAACAGGUCUGUGAUGCCCUUAGAUGUUCUGGGCCGCACGCGUGCUACACUGACUAGUUCAAAAAGUUUGUCAUUGGAAAAAUUCAAGUAAUUGAAAUUUUUUCAAUUUCCUUGGCCGGAAGGUCUGGGUAAUCUUAUGAAAUCUAGUCGUGCUGGGGAUAGAUCUUUGCAAUUGUAGAUACUUUAACGUAGGAAGUUCCUAGUAUGGUCGUGUCAUCGAGCGCGACCCGACCUGCGUCCCUCGCCCUUUCGUUACACACCGCCCGUCGCCUCCUACCG
rnacentral:rRNA from 1 species